AGUCAUAUGCUUGUCUCAAAGAUUAAGCCAUGCAUGUCUCAGUACAAGCCAAAUUAAGGUGAAACCGCGAAAGGCUCAUUAAAUCAGUUAUGGUUCCUUAGAUUGUACCCACAUUUACUUGGAUAACUGUGGUAAUUCUAGAGCUAAUACAUGCAAACAGAGCUCCGACCGGAGACGGAAGGAGCGCUUUUAUUAGAUCAAAACCAAUCGGUGGCGAGCUUGCUCGCCAUCGUACACCUUGGUGACUCUGAAUAACUUUUUGCUGAUCGCACGGUCUCGCACCGGCGACGCAUCUUUCAAAUGUCUGCCUUAUCAACUGUCGAUGGUAGGCUCUGCGCCUACCAUGGUUGUAACGGGUAACGGGGAAUCAGGGUUCGAUUCCGGAGAGGGAGCCUGAGAAACGGCUACCACAUCCAAGGAAGGCAGCAGGCGCGCAAAUUACCCACUCCCGGCACGGGGAGGUAGUGACGAAAAAUAACGAUACGGGACUCAUCCGAGGCCCCGUAAUCGGAAUGAGUACACUCUAAACCCUUUAACAAGGACCAAUUGGAGGGCAAGUCUGGUGCCAGCAGCCGCGGUAAUUCCAGCUCCAAUAGCGUAU
rnacentral:rRNA from 1 species